UAAUUAUGUAUAGUAAAGCAAAUUACACGAUUUGUAAAGCGCCAUAUAAGCAUUGUUUAUAACCUGACAAGUUUUUUCGAGACCUUGUCGCGCGGAUCGGAACAGCUAGUCAAAGCUAGGUUACUGGACCACGUGACUUGAACAGUGAGCUGAUGACGUAUGAUCCUCGUCCGUUCCCUCAUCACGUGACGGUUUCGAAGAUCCGUACCGGUGUGUGACAGUUCCGCUGUGUUCCCCCGUCGUUGUAGCGUUCCACUUGGCGGCGUCCACAUUCUGUGACAGAAACUAAAAUCCGGGUUUGACUGAAUACUGAGUGCUGACUGCGCCUCAAGUACGUUAAUAUUAUCGAAGUGGAUGUGGACUCCGCCAAGUGGAGCACCACAAGGAUAUCCUUCUGCCUUGUGUGAGGCUGGUCAAAGCGAUGGAGAAAGAAACUUCUUCCAGGAUGAAUGGAUGAUGGGACGCUUUUUGGAAAAAUAAGCAAUUGUUUGUAUACUCAGUGGACGGGUGACCCACAAGUUGCUCACUUCAGAAACUGCAGGAAGAGUAAGGAGACGAUCAUUAACCGGUGGCGAGGGAACAUAUAUGGGGCGGGGGGAGGGAGGCAGCCGCCUCUUCUUCAAAAGAGGUACCGAGAAGGCAAGAAUGUGAGCGUCGUUCACUGUCAGCAUGAUUUAUCUCACACUUCCCCCCUCUCCAGCCAAGAAUCUUCCUACAUCACUUACAUAUAACUAUAGUUUCAUUAUAAGAUGAGUAUCUUAAUGUAGAGACGGAUGAUGAAAUCUCCAUCUACCUAGAACAUCACCCAAACACAGAGAACGUGCUGUCCUCGUUUAUCGCGUGUUUUGUUUUUGUUUUUGUUUUUUUACAACAGUUCAUCGGUGAAUGACAAAAAGCUGUGUUGUAUGCUCCUGCUCCAAAGUUACUGGGGCAGCCCAGAGUGUUCUUAAAGUUCCAAGUACAUCACUGCUAGAAAGAAUGAAAUAAAAUAGAUGGCUCAUCCCUUUCA